UGUAACAGUGAUUCUGAGAUGUGCACAAAUUAGGGCGGAAAGAAGAAAACCACUACAUUUAUUGUCACCACUAUCCUACGCCAGAAUCCCAACUUUGUAUCUUAUGUGAAACCAUGGCCUGCCUGAAUGCAGCGAGGACUAGAUAGAAUCACUUUAUUCUACAGGACAGGAGGAAUCUUCAGACACAUGGAAGCCCUGGAAACACAUCACUAUUCUGGAUGGGGAGUUUCCAUAGAUUCAAUCUGAGAGAUGGGAACAGCUAUACAUUGGCUGUGCUGACUACCACCCUGUGACCAUCCUUCAUUUGGUGACCCCAGCCCAGCAGUGACCAUAGGCAAGAUUGACUGCUCCCUGGUCCCUCAGUUUGUGGAAUCUGCACUAUAGUGGCUCCAGCAAGGGCCUCAUAUGCUGUUCAGUUCUGGUGAUUCAUGGUCAACAUUGAUUGGAACAAGGCAGCUCAACUGUACCAGUUUUGGUGUGGAUUUAGUGAGGACAAAAAGGAGCUAUCCUGUACUGGGACUCUGACCAGC